AAGCACUAUUAUGGGCAUACUGAAUAUACCUGCAUUUUUCUAAGAGCUCUAUCAACACUCUGCACAUGGAAAAUCAUAGGUUAGGUAACCGAUUAUACAUGUGCAGUUACAUAAUAUAGGAUAUUUUAUAAUUGUUGAAAUAAAUACUUUCCAUAAGAACUCGGCUUAUGGUUGAAUGCAACACAACGAUCCAAUAACGAAUCUGCGUGGUAAGGAUGCGCAGAAGCUAAAUAGUAUUGUAUAA